CUGGAUUUUGUCUCUCUGUUCCCUGAAUAAUACUGGGUCAAGAUUGGCAAUUCCCUUUCUGUAGUCUUAUCUUCUUUCUCUAAACAGUUGCUAGACAGUUGAAUUGAUUUCUGCUAACCUGAUUGUAACCACUUCGGUUUUGGCUCCUGAGAUUAUAUCCUCAUCUUAAUUGGAGCCUUGGAGUGUUUCUAAACUCCUCAGUUACACAUCCACAGACAGUUUUAUAGAUUGCUCCCACAACCAGCUAAUUUAUUAAGUAUGGAUUUUACCCGUUUAGUUCUCAGAACUGCCUUAUUUUCAACACUUUAUGUAAAUUACUUCCUCAAAAGAAACUUUUUAAACGCUUUCGAUUCAAUCCAGUAAGUAUAAAGUGUCAGCACUGUAUUUUGCCUUGAGGAUAAAAAAGGAAAGAAGGAAAUUCAGAGUUAGUUACUGUAAGAGUUGAAGUCGCAAGACCCAAUUUUUCAGUGAUUUUCCAAACACUUAAAACUCUAUACCUCUUAGAAUGAUGUGAUAAGAUAGUUGCACAGCUCUGUAAGUAUACUAAAAAUCGUUGAAUUGUACAGUUGAAGGGAGUGAAUUAUAUGUAAAUUAUAACUCUACAAAUUUUUUUAAGCGACUUGGGGAAAAAAUAUUUCCAACAAUCAGCAGAAUCACGCUUUCCAUUCUUCUAAAGGCAUUGUUGGGGGUGAGCGGUGCUGUAGAGUAAUUUGCACUGAAACAUGGCUUCCCUAAUUUGGAAAUUCUGUUUUCCAUAUUCAUGUGUCAACCUCUCCUGUCCCUUCUGGAGAUGACUGUUACUUUUACUAGGUGGACACAAAGAUUAGGACUCUUGAUUCCACUGUGUGUAGGAAUCACCUCCAGGAACUGUUCACUUGUGUAAUUCUCUAUUCUCUUGUUCCACUUGUUUUAAUGACUAAUACUCUCUGAAGACAAAAGGAAAUAACAUGGUAUGUUAUCUUUUUGUUUCAUUUAUAUUUGUCUCAUCUUCCAUAGUAAACUAUGUUGAGGACAGGUUUCUAUUGUAACUCCCUUUAUUACCAGUAAAUUUUUUGUUAAAAUGAGUGUUAUUAACUAUUUACUGACUGCUCUUUGAGAAAGAUGGGGCACAGAAUGUUUCUAUGGAAACUGCAUCAUG
rnacentral:lncRNA from 1 species